CUGUUCACUUAGGCAGCACAUAUACUAAAAUUUGAAUGAUACAGAGAAGAUUAGCAUGGCCCCUAUACAAAGAUGACAUACAAAUUCAUGAAGUAUAUCAUAUUUUU
ensembl:snRNA U6 U6 spliceosomal RNA